AAUCAACGCUGGCGGCGUGCCUCAGACAUGCAAGUCGAACGAGAAAGUUCCCUUCGGGGAAUGAGUAAAGUGGCGCACGGGUGAGUAACACGUAGGUAAUCUACCUUCGGGUGGGGAAUAACCCAGGGAAACUUGGGCUAACACCGCAUAAUGCAGCGGCACCACAUGGUGACAGUUGUUAAAGCGGGGGAUUUUAGGACCUCGCGCCUGAAGAGGAGCCUGCGGCGGAUUAGUCUGUUGGUAAGGCAACGGCUUACCAAGGCGACGAUCCGUAGCCGGCCUGAGAGGGCGGUCGGCCGACACUGACACUGACAU
rnacentral:rRNA from 1 species